rnacentral:lncRNA from 1 species
CUUUCUGUAUGACAUCAUAGGGGAGGAAACCUUUCUCAGCGCUGCCCACCAGUGCCCAGGCCUGACUCUCUUUCCCUUAAAAGGUGACAGUGGCUUUUCGCAGGGCCUCUUCUCCAUAGCAAUGCCAACGUGUGGUCUUGGGCCUGCACCAGCCAUUGGUGGGGUGGGGAAGAGGUUCCCAUGGAAGUUAGGGCUUGGUCUUGGGAUGCUCAGAAGUGUUGCAGCAGAGAGGAGCAGCUCUGUGCUAUAGCCAAGCGUUACAACUCAGUGUGGAGGCUCUGGAACACAGCUCUGAGGCACAGCUGAGCUUUAUUGCUCAGUGUGGCAACUCCGGGUCACGGCUCUCAUUCUUUGAAGACUUGAGAAUCUCAUGGUCAUUUGAAGAGGUAGAGAUAAGCCUUUUAGUAGAGGAGUCUGAGCACUCUACCAGAAAUGAGAGCCUCCUUAUAGAGGGAGCCACAGGGUAGCACUGCUCUAUCAGAAGUAGUGGUCCAGCCCUGGCAACUGGAGCUCCACCUGAAACCCAGAGUGAGUCUUCCUCCCCUUGGCUGCACUGCUUCCAAGCAAAAUCAAGACCAGGUGGGGUGGAGGCAGGAGAGCACAUCUGAAGGCGAUUUCUUCCACAGUGUUGCCAUUUGCUCUGAACUUGGUAAGGGUUCCAUGUUUCAGAACUCACUCCUCUCCAUCAGAUUCGGGCUUCAUAGACAUCCCCACUGUGAUGACUUCACAGUUUCAAAGGGAGUUCAAACCCGGGAUGGAGACCAUGGGACCAGUAGAUACUUCAGAUCAGAAGGCAGGGGCAAUUUUUAUUCUCCAAGAACCACAACGCCCUGGGAUACAAUGAGCAAAGCUUCAGAGAAAGCACUGCACGGCUGGCCAUGUAGCUCAGUUGUGCUGCAACUGCCUCACAAGCACAAGGUCCUGAGUUCCACCCCAGAGCCACGAUGCACACUUUUGGGAACGCGCCUGUCAAAGCCUUCUGAGCAGCAAGCUUCUGGGCCACCUUCCUCUUCAUAACCGAUGCCAUCGGCCCUGGGAGAUGGGCUUCACCACCAGCUCGUCGAUGCCCAUCUUGGAGUUGUAGACCUUCUGCCUCACGAAGCCAGGGUCCGCCACGUAGUAGAUGCCGUCAAUGGUCAGCGAGGUCUCCGU